GCUGAGAUGGCCGAGUGGUCUAAGGCGCGUGACUUAAGUUUCUAUGCUUCUGUAUCUCGUGGCUCAUUGCCGCGUGGGUUCGAACCCCACUCUCAGCA